UAACACUUUUGUUUAGCCAACGUCAAAGCUUUUUUUCUGCAUAUGUUCUCAGCAGUGACGCUACUGAAAGGAUGAUAUUAUUAGUGGCACUAAUGAGAAUGCAGAGGGGACAAACAUAAAGACGUUUUGAACUGAGCUGGACUACUUAUCAGAACUUUAAUCUUUUUAUGAACCGACAGGACCUGACAUGGCAGAGCAACAGAAAUCAGACCUGGAGAAGGCUAUAGGCGCUCUGGUUCUUCAAUUCAAAGCAGCAUCCGCUAACAACAGACCAACUCUGACCCAAGAUGAAUUCACAUUUUUUCUCGGGAGACAGCUACCCAACUUGGAGAGGGGAAGGGACCCACGCAAGACUUUGCAGCGGAUGGGAGUGAGAGGGAGACAAGAUGUCAGCUUCGAGAACUACUGGGCUCUGGUUAACCAACACGCCCGCACCAUCUACCAGUCCACGCACAGAACUUGUAUCUUACUCUAAAACUGCUGUAAACAGGGAUAUUAUGCCAAAACAUGCCAGACAGAUUAUUAGACUAUUCUGUGUUGUUGAAUGUUGUUGUUAUCCAAGCUACUCAGACAAUCUGCAUGAGCAAUUUGAUUACAACGUCUUUAUUCAUGUCCACAGUGGAAUGUUCAAAUGUCCUUAUCAGCACUUAAAGUGGCUGAGCACAAAUUAUAUUUUUUCGGUGGUAAAUGUAGCUAUAGGAAGUCUCCCUUCACAUACUCUUUUGUUUUUAGUCACAUAUGGAUUGUCAUGUUUUUUGUGUUUUACGUAGAUAAUGCUUAUUUUAAAACAAUCAGAUACACAGAUACUGUACAUAUGAGCGCGAGCACACACACACACACACACACAGGCACACACGCACAUGCACACAGUUAAUUCACAGUUAGAAUAAAUCGUUAUUGAACAGUGUGAUGGUUCUUUUAAUCUCUGGAUAGUUCCAAAGAGAGUCAACAGAGACAUUAUUAAGCGUAUUCAUAUUUACCCGGGUUAAUGUGUACGGGGCCAGAGUUGAACCAUUACAUCAGGUGACAGGUUCCUCACAUUGGUAAUGAUUCCUCAGAACCACAUCAUAAUGGGCUAAGCCUAUUAUGACACGUCAUUAUGCCAUUCAUUAAAGGGUUCUUUAAAGAACUGUUGCUUCGAUGGUUCUUUGAAGCACUGAAAAAGGUUCUUCUAUGGCAUCGCUCUGAAGAACCAGUACUGGUCCCAUUCUUUUUUUAAAGUGUAAAUGUGAUGAAAUAAAAGCAGUCAGC